rnacentral:rRNA from 1 species
GACGUAGGGCGCGAGCGUUGUCCGGAUUUAUUGGGCGUAAAGAGCUCGUAGGCGGUUUGGUAAGUCAGGUGUGAAAUCUCCACGCUCAACGUGGAGGGGCCACCUGAUACUGCCAUGACUGGAGUCCGGUAGAGGAGUGUGGAAUUCCCGGUGUAGCGGUGGAAUGCGUAGAGAUCGGGAAGAAUACCUGUGGCGAAGGCGGCCAGCUGGGCCAGAUCCGACACUGAGGCGCGAAAGCGUGGGGAGCAAACAGGG